CUAUCAUGGAGGAUUCGGUCGAGGUCAUCCUUCUGCAUAAAAGUUGCAAGCUCUCCCAGCAUACUCAGGAAAAGUCACUUUUCACAGCAGCAUCUGGAGCUUUGCUCAUGGGUGUUUAUGGGCUCUGGACAUUAUUUGCACUUCCUGGCUUCCGGAAAGUACCCAUAUAUCUCAAGGUACUGGAAGUAAUAUACCAUAUAUUGGCAGCUAUGUAUAGCAGUUUGUUCAGUUAUACAUAAUAAAGAGCUGCCAAUAUUACAGUAUUCGUUCAGUACCCUGGGUGAUAUCUUUUUAGAUGGCAACAAUCUGCACUUUACCAUGUGCCUGGAUACAGUGGUUGUUUAGACUGCAGAGAGGGAAAGUCAAUCAAUCAAUUAAUCACUGAUGUAAAUGAAAUUAAUAUUGUCCAGGUGCCUUAUUUGCCCUCCAGCAGAACACAGACCCAGAAUGUAAUGAAACUCCUGCAUGGGAGAGCAGGGUGUCUGGCAGAUCUGGGCUCAGGUGAUGGACGACUGGUGCUAUACGAGAUGCUUCUGAUGGCUUUCUGCAGAUGACUACUUUCUCACCACAAUACAUGGUAUUUGCCGCCACUGUAGAGGGUUUCCAGUGCACUGGCUUUGAAAUCAAUUCUAUCCUAGCUGGAUAUGCCAGAGUCAAAACAAAGUGGAAGGGAAUACCAUCCAGCACUUCCAGUUUUAUAAACCAGGACUUUUGGAAGACCAAUUUGUCCAAAUAUAACAAUGUGACUGUUUUCUUGGCACCCGGAGUGGUAUGUAUGCGCAGAUGUCCUUGCUCCAUUUAUACUGAGCUGAUAAAAAGACAAUUUGAGAGCUGUUUUAAAAAUAGAAAAGAUAGUACAGUAUCUUUAAAAAUCAGUACAAAGAAUUACAUCAUCUAGACAUGUAUUCUACUUAAUUGUGCAAUGAUUUUUGGUCUGAUCAUUGGGAUUUGUUGGAGAGGAAAUCAGCUUAGGUUACCCUGGAGAGUUUUUGAGUCAUUUUAAACAACAUGGUGUGUGAGACAGAUGGGGAUGAAGACAGUCACACUUCUUGAUAGAAAACACGAAUGCAAAAAAAUUACCUGUUUGACUUGCCAGUAAUAGCCUUGAUCAAUACAAUGUGCUUUGUGGUCUACAGAUGGAGGUGUUGGGUAGAAAACUGGAGAAGGAGUUACCAGAUGAGGCUCGUGUGAUUGCCUGUCGCUUCCCAUUUCCUGACUGGACUCCUACAGCCACUGAGGGUGAAGGACUAGACCAGGCCUGGGCAUAUGAUAUGAAUGCCAUACGGAAGCUUUCAACACAUGCUACCAUGAAAUGAGGAGAAAAGCACCUUUCCUUGUGUCAAAAAGCUUUGUUUUUUGUUUGAGCACCACCUGAAAGGUGGGUUUGAUGACAAAUGGCAUGUGUGUGUUGUAAAAUGCUAAACUAAACUGUGAAAUAAAGAGCCAACAUUAC